rnacentral:lncRNA from 10 species
CGGGCCCUUGGGGAGGGACGGGCACUGUUCCCCAGAGCAGUGCAAUCAAUGCUGGGAAACUGAAGCUGCGAGUGUCCGAGGGACCCUGGGAUGUCUCUGGGGUCUGCGUAGGUACCCAUGGAGGAGCAGAGAUGGUGGAUGAAGGAGGCCGUGGAGGAGAAAAGAACACAGGAAUUUACCAGAAAUUGGCAGGCUGUGGAAUUGAUGGAGUCCACUUACUGUCCAGGCCUAAGGGGUCCAAUAAUCCCAUCCUUUGCCGAAAGCUUUACUGUGGGACUGGCAUCAUUUCAAGCAUUUAAUCCUCGUCCCAACUCUACGAGGAAGGUACUGUUGUUCCCACUUCACAGGGGAGGUGAUUGAGGCACAGAAGGGUCAACCAAUUCACUCAAGGUCACGCAGCUCCUACACAGUGCAGUUGGGAUUCGAACCUGCAAUGUGGUUCCCAGUGCAGCCCACCAUGACCAUUCCACGUGGCCAAAGCCAG